GUACAUUUCCACCAACGGUGUGUGAGAAGUGUGUAGAAUAACCUUGCUUUUCUCAAAUUAUGAUCAAGAGUUAGUACCUGGCUCCUCAGGGAAAAGAAAUGAAAAUCCUGGAUCAUAGUCCCUUAUGGACCUUUUGUCUUCAUUAGAAAAUUAUGUAAUAAAUAUAUCAAGCAAGGUCUCCUGGAAUGAAAAUUUUAUGACACCACAUGAAGAUAAAAAACAUGUUUUGAAUAAAUUAAAUAAUUAGCUAAUUGUUUUGGAGAUCCUUGACUAAGACAUGGAAAUACCUCUUCAGAAUUGCUCAGGUCUUCUGAGGAUGCAUCUGCAUAUGACACUAGGGCGAGGAUGUGUGACUCAGAAAUUCCACUCACUGGAAGUCAAGGCAUAUUUUUUUUUUUUUCUAGCUGGGCUUAAAGCCAAUGUCACCAUAACUUUAAUGGACUCAGUGUAGCUGUGAGUUGUAUUAUCUCAGGAGUAUAAUCAUAAAGAUAAGUUGAAAACAGCAUUCCAGGAGAUUGCCAACACUCUAUUAUAAAGUAAAUAAAUACAGAUGGGGCACUACACUGAAAAUGUGGCAUGAAGUUGCCAUCCACGGCAGAGGUCAACAUUUGGACCUGAUAAAUGAAGCCAAGUCAUAGAUAAGAAAAAAAUAUCUAGGACCAAAAGAACAAAUAUUUAAGAGUGGAGCCCUCAGAAAAAGAAAGAAUCAUCCAUAGGAAUAAAAGAAAAAGAAAGGUAAGGAGUCUUCUGGCAUAGAAACGGCAGCAUUUAGGAUGAACUGUCCUCAAGACUAUCUCCAAUGCUGUUCCUUCUUCAUGACUGAAUCCCCUACACUUGCUGUCUCAUCUCCCUAGGGUCAGCUGGACCUGUUGGACUUGAGGUGUCAAUUUGGAUGUUUAAUUUUGAUUUAAACUCAAUUUUAGAUACUUUUCUCUUUUGAGAUCUUCAUAUUUAAUCCAUUAUUCAAACUCGUGUAGCUAAUGAAAUGAUGGGGGAGAAUAGAAGCCUUAGUUUUACAUAUACGAUCAGUAUGAUGGUGAUUUUUUUUCCUGUAUAAAUUCUAUGUAAAAGAAACCUGGUUUGAACCCCCCCCCAAAUUAGAGUUACUUCCUAAUGAUUUUUAAUGUAAUCUGAUUUUUUUUUCGGGCUUCUUUCUUGUGCUUGUUUUUCAGACAUAUGAAGGAGGGUCUUUUCAUAUUAAAUUGUUUUCCUGGCAGCACCUGAACCAAAGGAUCAGACUUAAAAUAAGUCUUUUUCCAAUGUUAUGUUGAAAUUGGAUACGACAUUUCUCACAAAACUUCUAAGUCAAACAGUGAUGAGAAACUACUGCCUAAAAGUGGGCCUACAUCAAAUCGUUAUGGUCUCGUACCAAGAUGUCUUUUGACUGAGGAAGCUAAGAAUACGGCUCCUUGUUCUCACCAGUGGACUCCUCCUCAGCAGCAGGGGCUCCCUUCCCCACUACCCAUGAGGGAGAUGGUGGCAGUUCAACAGGAAAAUGCCAUGAAAAUCAUAUUGAAAAUGAUGCAUACUAAACAAAAAGAUACUGUGUCCUUGAAGAAUCAGGCCAUAAACAAGACUUCUUUUGGCAUUCACUAGAAAAAUCUCAAACUCAUGAGGACCUUUUUCCAAGGCCAUCUUUUAAGUAACGCAAAUUUGGAAAUACAUGAGAGGAAAUAAUUUGUUAACCAGCUGUCUUUCUUAAACAUCUCAUUAAACAAAUUAAUCCAUACCAAAGGGGCUACCAUACAAGGUCAUAAAUGAAACAAGUCUUGCAUAUUUGUCACUAGGGCAAAAGAUACAAAAGAGAUAAAAUUCUGGGAACAAACUAUGCUGUUUAAACUCUCACAAACACUUUCUAAUUAAAAUUUGGAAUAGAACGGAAAUCAACAGUACUCAGUCAUUUCUUUACAUCAACUAUAUUUAGAAUAGGACAAAUAAUGAAAGAUUUAAUAAUGUUCAUAUGGAAUGCAUUGAGAUCAGGCAGCUUGGAGAGGUUGGCUUUAUAGACAAAAAUACUCUAUGAUUCCACUUAUAUGAGGUACCUAAAGGAGUCAAUUUAUAGAAACAGAAAGCAGAAUGGUGGUCUCC
rnacentral:lncRNA from 1 species